rnacentral:rRNA from 1 species
UACGGAGGGGGCUAGCGUUGUUCGGAAUUACUGGGCGUAAAGCGUGCGCAGGCGGUUCGUUGUGUCUGAUGUGAAAGCCCCGGGCUCAACCUGGGAAUGGCAUUGGAAACUGGCGAGCUAGAGUGUGGCAGAGGGGGUGGAAUUCCGCGUGGUAGCAGUGAAAUGCGUAGAGAUGCGGAAGAACACCGAUGGCGAAGGCAGCCCCCUGGGCUGACACUGACGCUCAGGCACGAAAGCGUGGGGAGCAAACGGG